rnacentral:rRNA from 1 species
UACAGAGGGGGCAAGCGUUGUUCGGAUUUACUGGGCGUAAAGGGCGCGUAGGCGGCAAUUCAAGUCAUCUGUGAAAUCUCCGGGCUUAACCCGGAACGGUCAGGUGAUACUGUUUUGCUAGAGUGCGGAAGGGGCAAUCGGAAUUCUCGGUGUAGCGGUGAAAUGCGUAGAUAUCGAGAGGAACACCAGAGGUGAAGACGGGUUGCUGGGCCGACACUGACGCUGACAGCGCGAAAGCCAGGGGAGCAAACGGG